UCCCACUCCCACCAUCUGCCGUCAAAGCUGCUAGGAUAGGGCUUCUUCUUGCUUUGGUCUUCAACCAAGUUACACAGGUAAUUAAUUAUUUUACACUUUGCACAUUCUUCUAGAUAUAUAUAUUUAUAUUUUGUAUAUUAUCAUUAUUUUGCAGAUUUCUUAUGGGGAAAUCAAAGGGGAAGAAAAGCAAGAGCAGUGAUGAUCCAGGAUGGAAACAUUGCCAAAAAAUUGAUGAAGGAAACAUGCGAGUAAGAUGUGUACACUGUCAAGUUAUCUAUUGGGGAGGUGUUUAUCGCAUAAAACAUCAUUGAGCAGGAAUUAGAAAAGAUGUUGAACCAUGUACAAAAUGUUCUGAAGAAAUUCGAAAUUAUUUUUUAAAUUAUCUGGAAAGUCAAAAAACAAAAGGAGAUUAUGGGGAUGAUGGAAAUUUUGUUGAAGAUGAUGUUGGUGAAAUUCCUGGAAAAAGAAAAAGACGAACAAGUGAUUAAUGACAUUAGCAAUACUAUUUUUGUAUUACACUUUUUUUGGUUUUGUUAUGUUGAAAAGUCCAUGUUUAAAGAAACAUAUGACAUGGAUUUUUAUUAUAUGCAACAUGAUUUCUGCUGAAUAAUAGUAU
rnacentral:lncRNA from 1 species